AUUGAACGCUGGCGGCAGGCCUAACACAUGCAAGUCGAGCGAGUGGCGGACGGGUGAGUAAUGUAUGGGGAACUGCCCGAUAGAGGGGGAUAACUACUGGAAACGGUGGCUAAUACCGCAUACCAUCGGAUGUACCCAUAUGGGAUUAGCUAGUAGGUGGGGUAAAGGCUCACCUAGGCGACGAUCCCUAGCUGGUCUGAGAGGAUGACAAGCCACAUGGGAAUGGAGCAAGGGCCCAGCCCCCACGGGGAGCAAUCAGUGGGAAUUAUUGGCAAUGGGGGGCACCCUGGAUGAGGAAAUGCCGCGUGGUUGAGGAAGGUUUCGGGGUGGUAAACUACUUUGAGCAGGGAGGCGGUACUUACACAGAAAGCACCGGCUAACUACGUGCCAGCAGCCGCGGUAAUAC
rnacentral:rRNA from 1 species